CAACACCAACCAGCACAGAGUCAGUCCAACCAAUCACAGAACCCCAGACUCCGGCUCCAUCCACGUCUGUAGACACGUUUACAGACACGGCCACCUCCAGUGACACAUCGACUUCUCCUCCUGCUCCAACAGGCGGCUCAGUGAUCCCUGAAUCCCUCACCAAUGCACCAGCUGCUACCGUCUCGAGCCAGACCGACACCUCGUCUUUAACUACGACGCCAUCUCUGUCUAGUCCAACACUCACAGUCGGACCCACGGCACCUGACCGGCCAGCACCAGAUGUGGUACCCGAUGUGACACCCGACACCCUCACCGCAACAACUGGCUUUGUAAAUCCACUAUCUGUUCUUCCCGAGGUCACUGAUGUAUUUGCCUCAUCCUCUGACGGCAUUGCAACAACACUUUAUAUGGUCACCAAAGCAAUAUCUUCUGCAACCGUGGCAACAACACCUUCUGCAACCAUGGCAACCUCUGAAAAAACACCUUCAGUAUCAGCUAGCACCAUUCAACUGCCAGCCUCUCUGGCACCCGUUUCUGAUGUUUCUUCAGAAGUGGUUGCAGCAAA